rnacentral:tRNA from 1 species
GCCCCCAUAGCUCAGUAGGUUAGAGCGGCGGACUCAUAAUCCGUUGGUCGCAGGUUCGAGUCCUGCUGGGGGCA